CACCACCACUGCCUCUUAGCUUCAUUCGAUGAUCGUAUGAGCUGAUGCGAGUGAAUACGGUGACACGGAAUGACCCUGCUUAUGCACAUGUAGCUGCGGGUUUACAUAUACACAGUUACCUUUCUCUUAACAUUGAUCAAGGGAAAUAUUCAGGAUGUGACAGUGAGAGGAAAAAUAGCUACUCCGACACUUGACUAUCCAAUCCCCAUUUCGGUCGAGCAGAGAGUAUUAUACAAACUGUCAUCAUUCCAAAGUUGAUAAAUUAAAGUACCAGACAAAUACUGAGUUCUCUCUCCACAAAUCUUAAGCUUUGCGUUUAGAUUGAUUUCAAACUUUGGCACAAGGCCAGUAACUUCAGGGAAAGCGGUGGCAGUCGGUGUACGAGAUUGACAAGCUUCAGUUAAGGUGAAAUACGUGUGUUCUUCUCAUCAGUAACAGGAGCAAUGUUUACCUCGAUGCCAUAUAUAUUUUGUCAUUUUCACUAACGUCUAUGAAGACAGUGUCAUCCCAAACAGUUCCACAUCUUGACUUCUGGCGGUGAGACUGCAUCCAUGAUCUGUUAUAGAGUCUCCCAGAUUGUUUGAAGGGAAGAAGGAAGCCAUCCUCAAAUCAAAACAUUGUCUGAAUGCUUGUAACAGAGUGCAUUCUGUUGGAGACGCCCAAGCAGCCAGGUGUGUCAAAUCGGGUGACGGAUUAAGAAUAACAUUCAAGUAGGCCAUGGCGGGAUUUGAACUAAGGUCACAAAUAGCUGGAACAACUACUGCAAGGCACCCGAUAUGAUGUUGUUAUAGUUCCGUCAAUCCACUGUAGGAGAUAUUUGUAUUUUGCAUCGACGUCUAAAAAUGAGAGGCAGUGUUCACUUUUGUGAGGUUUAAACUCAUAGCGUAUAGAUUCGGAAAAAAUACCGCGAAGCACUUUAUCCAAUGCUCUAACGACUCAGCUAAUUUCCUGGAAGUAGGAUGCUGAAAAUAUAGAGCCGAUGUUUUGGCCAUACUGAGCCCAGGAAUUGGACACACGACCUUAUGAUUGCGAUUCCAAAAUCCUAAGCACUAGGCCACGCGUCUUCAUAAAAAUCUGAUAAAGACAAAACUUAAAUAAAUUCCUUUGCCGCAAGGAAAAAUAAAUGUCUAACGUUUCGGGUAAAUCUGUUCAUCAGUAAAAGACAUAAAAGAUUUUCUGAUAGAAGCGAUAAAUUGGAUUGCGUCACAUUUUAUACUAAACCUCAAAAGAAAAACGAAAUUCCAUCAACAACAAACCAAGCCCUGCUGGUGUCAGGAAACAUAUAAUUUCCACUCUUCGCUUCGCAUUAUUUUGUCUGUAUCUUUUUUGAUUGUGGACUGAAGUCACUUACGCAUGCAUACCAGAAACCAUGCCAUGAAGUAUGAAGUUAAUGUAUAAAGUAACCGAAUAUAAAUUGAUAAUUGACUUGGACAACUUUAACAAAAGGAAAUUCGUGAUUGAAAAUCGAAUCUCUUGGCCCUUAGGAUAUUUACAUAUAUUUUCAUGAAUUGAUUAUUAAAGGUUCUUUAAUUACUGCAAGAUGAUCUAAAAUGGAAAAACAUCUUUCGUCGAACAUGUGCCGAGUAUAAAAAUACUUUGAAAAAUUCCUAA